rnacentral:misc_RNA from 1 species
UUUGUUUGAAGAACAAGAUCGAUACAAAGGAUUACAGUUCCAUAACACAUCGUCAUUCCCAUCACAAGGAAUUUUAGUUAUUUGAUUAGUCGAUGCAUUUUAUUUUACAAUUCCAAUCCUAAUGUAAUAUUUUAUGAAGCGUUCACAACUUUCUUCCUUUCUCCAAUCUCUACAAGCAUGGUCAAGAGAGCCUCACACAUCUCCGUCGCAUCAGCCUCAACCUGAUCCGUCCGCAUCGUAGAGUACACCAUCCAUCCAUGAUCCAGCUUUCUCUGGGGCCUCACUACCACCGACCCUGGCACCUCUGCAUCGUUGCGCGUCACCAUCCCAUCACUGCUCUCGCCAUAUCGCAGCUUUAGGUGUAACGCAUACACCGCCAUAGUAGCAGCAACAGGGAGGAUCACCGGAACCUUCUGCCCAUCUUGCCCCGCAAGCGACUCUUCAGCCUCCUUGAGAAAGGAGGGGAGAGGGAGCCACGGG